ACAGCAGGCAGAUCAGGAUGCCUGGUGCCUAAGGAUUUAGAAGCUGGUGUAGCUAAAUUAGCUUCCCUGAAUGGACCCCUCCACUGGAAAUGGGAAGGGGGAACUUUCCUAAAUUAAACUUCUGAAAGGCUUUCCUCACAAUUGACUGCAAUAACGAAGUAGUGUUCCAUGCUUUAUGGUGCAUAGUCACAAUGAUAUCAAAACAAAUGUCACCUCAGUGUGAGAUUCAGAUUCUUGCUGGGAACAGUGACAGGCUGUACAGCAAUCCACUUAUGCUGCUGAUAACAGUGAUGGAUGAAAGUGACAACUUGCCAGCAUUCACCCAGGAGUUUUAUCAGAUAGCAUUCGAGGAGAAUACAGCCAAAAAACUUGCAAGAGCAUUUGAAAAAUUCAUAGAUUUUGAUCUAGAAGAGGCACAGUCAUUCAUGAAGUAAUAACCUGUGAGAAAAAGCUUAGGGAGAAACAGUGGGGAAAAAAAAUAUUAAAAAGUUAUGAAACCCCCCAUUAAUCUAAUUGGAGAUGAAUCUAUCAUAUCUAAAUAUUCACUAUUUCUUAUGUCCUUCUGCUUUAAUACCUUGUUUUAUUUGUAUUUCUGCAAAGAUAAAUUAUCACAUUCUUUGUAUAAUGUGUGUUACAUAAGAACUGUC